AAAAAAAAACCACUUCGUGUCAUUUUUUCUGCAAGUUAAAACAGCCCGUACAGUUCAUCUAGAUAGAACUCUCCUCUCACGGCGUGCAAUCCCCACCAAGCUUCUCAUCCACAUGCGUCAAUGGUGGGCAUCAGGAAACUAAUCCCCAGUCUGUGCAUGGAUCUCGACGACCUCGUAGAUGGCGAGGGGGAAUGCGGGAUGCGCUGCUCAAACUUCUCAUGUCCGGAGGCUCGCGGCGGUGGCGGAGGUUCUGGAUCUUGGUGGCGUGGCGGAGGUACUGGGGUAGCUCCCGGAUGGGAGAAUAUGAGCAAGAUGUGACCAACAUCUGUGGGCGGCUGCUUAAUUGUUGCCCUGAUAGCUGGUGAUGUUGGACUCCUACCAAAUGUGAGAAGCAGUUGGGCAUGACUUUGUUGGAUGUCGAGUUUUAGGCCGCAUGAAGUGUCUGGCCUUGCUUCAUCAGACAUCGAGCUACACGGCCCGUGGUGGUUUUUACUGACUAAUACUUGUGGGGCUUCCUUCGCGCUUCGUCUUACCGGCAUACUUCGAUGUUCUUGGUGGCUUGUUUGAGUUGCCCUUUUUCCUGACUACUACCUCUUGGAUGUCUACUUGUGUGGCUGGUCAUCAAAAGUCGCUCUAGUUCUUGCAGGCCAUAGUAUUUUUCCUUAAAAUCUAUAGGAAUUAGUUGUCAAUUGAUAAAGUACAUAUGAAGAUGUUAUACAGAAUAAGUGAAUUUACUUACUAAACUUGAUGAUUCAGAUCAGUAGUGGUUGGGCGUGACUUUGUUGGACGCCGAGUAGCAUGUUGCAUUAAACUUGAUCCCUGCUUUGCUGAGCAAUACUUGUGGGGCGUCGAGUCGCGCUUCGUCUUACCGACAGACUUCCAUGUUCUUUGUGGCUUGUUUGAGUUGCCCUUUUUUUGACUUCUACUUCUUGGAUGUCUGCUUGUGUGGCCAGCAUGAUUCGUUUAUGUGGGUUUGCUUUGGCCGGGUUGCUCUUGACGACACCAUGUACAGUUUUUGUCCCAUCUAUGCCUUAUUUGCAUCUGUCUAAUUUGGAAGUCUAAGCACGUGAUGUGUGGUGUUGUGGCCUCGUAUCCUUGUUUGUUUGUGAUUGCAUGCGUGUUGAGUCUUGAGUCGCGUUCGUGCUUGUGUCUAACCAACCGAUGGAAAAUUAGCUAUUUCCUUGUGCUCGGGUUGUGUCGGACAGAAAAGAGAUGUGUUUUUUUUUCACGGGAAAGAUAAAAGAGAUGUGUUGAAACUAUAUAUAUGUGACAUGUCAAUAUUUGUAUGUAACAUUUACAUCUUUUUAAUCUCAGCCAUUGAUCUCUAAAAUUAGCGACUAAGAUAAUUUAAAUAUAUGUGGAUGAACGUGGAUGCUUAUUUGUCUCUUGUUUUAAGAGGUUUUUAAUAGGGAGGUGUAUGAGUUUUUUUUACAUCAAAAGUAUGUGAGUUGGUCUGAAGACGCCUUGAACUAUUUGUACGUUAUAUGUGUCAAA